rnacentral:rRNA from 1 species
UACGAGUGCCUCAAGCGUUAUCCGGAAUUAUUGGGCGUAAAGGGUGUGUAGGUGGUUUUAUUAGUCUUCUGUUAAAUUUCUCGGCUUAACCGGGAACUCGCAGGGGAAACGGUAAGACUUAGAGUGUGCGAGGGGUCCGUGGAACUCAUAGUGUAGCGGUGAAAUGCGUUGAUAUUAUGGGGAACACCAAAAGCGAAGGCAGCGGACUGGAGCAUUACUGACACUGAAACACGAAAGCGUGGGUAGCGAAUGGG